rnacentral:rRNA from 1 species
GGGGGGGGGGGGGGGGGGGGGGAGGGGGGGGGGGGCGGGCGGGGGGGCGGGGAGCUGGCGGUGCGGGGGGUAGCGGCGGACGGGUGGGGAACGCGUGGAUCACCUACCUAUAAGACGGGGAUAACUUCGGGAAACCGGAGCUAAUACCGGAUAAUAUUUUGAACCGCAUGGUUCAACAGUGACAGACGGUCUUGCUGUCCCUUAUAGAUGGAUCCGCGCUGCCUUAGCUAGUUGGUAAGGUAACGGCUUACCAAGGCACCGAUGCAUAGCCGACCUGAGAGGGUGAUCGGCCACACUGGGACUGAGACACGGUCCAGACUCCUAAGGGAGGCAGCAGUAGGGAAUCUUCCGCAAUGGGCGAAAGCCUGACGGAGCAACGCCGCGUGAGUGAUGAAGGUCUUCGGAUCGUAAAACUCUGUUAUUAGGGAAGAACAUAUGUGUAAGUAACUGUGCACAUCUUGACGGUACCUAAUCAGAAAGCCACGGCUAACUACGUG